rnacentral:lncRNA from 1 species
CCGCUGUCCAACGUUAGCUCAGAGAAGGUGGCGGGCGGGCGUGUGCACCUCUGGGGCCGCGGAUCAGAAUCCGGACCUGGCGGUGGAUGGAGCUCAGGGAGUCUUGAGAGGCAAUGGCAGGACGCAAAUGUGUUUGCAGCGAGUGAAUUACACAGGGAUAUCAAAGGCGACUCCAAUAACUGCGCGCAGACAGAGGACAGAAAGGU